rnacentral:rRNA from 1 species
AUGAUCACCAAUGCCCAAAACAAUAACUUGCUGGUGGGUUUGGCUUCGGACGUCAUCCCUAAUGGAGUUGCGGUACUCCAAUAUGCUGACAACACUAUUAUCUGCCUGGAACACGAUGUUGAUAAGGCAGUAAACCUGAAGUUACUGCUGUACAUCUUCGAACUUAUGUCUGGACUUAAAGUGAACUAUCAGAAAAGCGAGAUUUUCACCGUGGGAGGCGAUGAGGGCACACUGAAAUACUAUGCUGAGUUGUUUAACUGUGACGUGGAUAGCUUCCCCAUCAAGUACCUCGGUAUGCCUGUUAGUUAUUCCACCCUUAGAGAUUCUGACUGGGAGUUCAUAGUGGCCAAGUACCUUAAAAGAUUUGAGGCUUGGAUCGGUAAUGCCGCAUCCAUGGGGGGCAGACUGACUUUGUUGGAUUCAGUUGUCGCCCAAAUAUCCUUGUAUCAUAUGUCUAUGUGGCUUAUGAGCAAAACUUUCAUUGAAAAGCUUGAUAAACAUAGAAGGAAAUUCUUUUGGCAAGGCUGUAACAAGAAAAGGAGAUAUCAUUUGGUUAAAUGGGGCAGACUAUGUAGAUCUUGAGAUAAAGGUGGCCUGGGAGUUAAAGAUCUUCGUAAACAAAACAUUAGCUUGAUGGUCAAAUGGUGGUGGAAACUUGAGACCCAAAAUGGCCUUUGGCAGCAAAUUGUGCGUGCUCGAUACUUGAGAAAUAGAUUUGUGGCUACGGUUGAAUCUAGAUUUAAUGACUCUCUGUGCUGGAAAGCCCUUCUGAAAGUUAAGACCCUGUAUAUGGCUGGUAGGAAAAUCAAGACUAAUUCGGGAGAGAUAACUAGAGUGUGGAAAGAUUCCAUCAAUGGGCAUAGGCCGUUCCGUGACUGUUAUCCCCUGCUGUUCGACAUCUGCACUGAGCAAGACUGUACUGUUGCAAAAGUCAAAUCUGUGACUCCCAACACCUUCUUUAGAAGGAGACUGACCCCUGAUCUUCAGAGACAAUGGUAA